rnacentral:rRNA from 1 species
UGGGGAAUUUUGGACAAUGGGCGCAAGCCUGAUCCAGCAAUGCCGCGUGCAGGAUGAAGGCCUUCGGGUUGUAAACUGCUUUUGUACGGAACGAAACGGCUCUGGUUAAUACCUGGGGCUAAUGACGGUACCGUAAGAAUAAGCACCGGCUAACUACGUGCCAGCAGCCGCGGUAAUACGUAGGGUGCGCGCGUUAAUCGGAAUUACUGGGCGUAAAGCGUGCGCAGGCGGUUAUAUAAGACAGAUGUGAAAUACCCGGGCUCAACCUGGGAACUGCAUUUGUGACUGUAUAGCGAGAGUACGGCAGAGGGGGAUGGAAUUCCGCGUGUAGCAGUGAAAUGCGUAGAUAUGCGGAGGAACACCGAUGGAGAAGGCAGCCUCCUGGGCCAGUACUGACGCUCAUGCACGAAAGCGUGGAGAGCAAACA